UACGAAGGGGGCUAGCGUUGCUCGGAAUCACUGGGCGUAAAGGGUGCGUAGGCGGGUCUUUUAAGUCAGGGGUGAAAUCCUGGAGCUCAACUCCAGAACUGCCUUUGAUACUGAGGAUCUUGAGUACGGGAGAGGUGAGUGGAACUGCGAGUGUAGAGGUGAAAUUCGUAGAUAUUCGCAAGAACACCAGUGGCGAAGGCGCUCACUGGCCCGUUACUGACGCUGAGGCACGAAAGCGUGGGGGAGCAAACAGG
rnacentral:rRNA from 1 species